GAUGAACGCUGGCGGCGUGCCUAAUACAUGCCAGUCGAGCGAACAGACGAGGAGCUUGCUCCUCUGACGUUAGCGGCGGACGGGUGAGUAACACGUGGAUAACCUACCUAUAAGACUGGGAUAACUUCGGGAAACCGGAGCUAAUACCGGAUAAUAUAUUGAACCGCAUGGUUCAAUAGUGAAAGACGGUUUUGCUGUCACUUAUAGAUGGAUCCGCGCCGCAUUAGCUAGUUGGUAAGGUAGCGGCUUACCAAGGCAACGAUGCGUAGCCGACCUGAGAGGGUGAUCGGCCACACUGGAACUGAGACACGGUCCAGACUCCUACGGGAGGCAGCAGUAGGGAAUCUUCCGCAAUGGGCGAAAGCUUGACGGAGCAACGCCGCGUGAGUGAUGAAGGUCUUCGGAUCGUAAAACUCUGUUAUUAGGGAAGAACAAAUGUGUAAGUAACUAUGCACGUCUUGACGGUACCUAAUCAGAAAGCCACGGCUAACUACGUG
rnacentral:rRNA from 1 species